GUUGGACGUGAGACCUGCCCUUGGCCACCGCGGCCCUGAGACGCUGCACAGUAUCCUCCCACGGUCUCGAAUGUGCCGGCCGCGGUGGACACGGUGCCCGCGGUGGGCGGUGCGGGUCACCUGGAGCCCAAACGCGGCCAGGCUUCCAACCCUGUGCUGUAAUUGUGGAAACCAGGGGUAGGAGUCUACAAGACCCAAUGUCUCCCUUUGGAAGCCUUACACUCUAAGAAACCUGUGGCCUUUCUUGGCCCUUUCAGUUGAGACGGGGCUAGUCCAAGUCUUUCCCUGAGGCCUGGAUGUGUGGAGAAGAAACACAGCUCCUUCUCUAGAAUCUGGAACUUACUUGACAGGGAGGUUAUGGUCCCUAGGCCGCCUGUGGUUGGUUCCUGAGAUGCCCUGUGUUCACCGUGUGCAACAUUGUGUGAUUAGCUCCCCACCGACUGCCUCCCAUGAGAGUUUCUUCUGACCUUGUCCCACUUCUCCCCUGGAAAUAGUAUGAAACACACUGUGCUUCUCAGUGCGUUUCAGUUGGCAUGAGAUGCAGCCUGCGAAAGACCUCCCGAGCUUACCAGCUCUGUCAUCAUAAUCUCUGACCCCCUGGACCUUCCUCCUCAGGACCCUGUCUGUCACUCGUCUGGGUUGAAGUGGCGUCCCAGUGUAGAAGAAAGAUUUACAUGGCAUGUAAUACUAGCACACAAAAAGGUUAACACUUUCAGAUGGACAACUUUCAACAAUAACAACAAAUUGAAGAACAAUUACAGCAGCUGCCACAAGAGAGCUGUUGAAGUCAGCUUUGGCGAUGGUGUUCCUUUGGUUUUGCAAUGCUACACUGAAACUUGAAGAGAAAAUGCUCCUUCUCUAUCUGUGUGACUCCUCCCCCUGCAGAAUAGAGAACUUUGUAUCGUGGAAACAGUGACUCAGGUGCUACACUGGAUGGAUGCUUUCUUUAUAGGCCAAGCAUGAAUUGAAGAUGGGAGAGCCUGCAAUGCUGUGGACGUGAUCUGUCUUCUCCUAAACCCACUGACAUUCACUCUCCACAGUGAGAUAUUGGAAUAUGUCUCCUUGGGUAGACCAAUCUGACCCUGUGACUUUUUUCCACAGAGGACUUAGACUGUUUGGUCGGGUCACUGGCAUACUGAGGGUCUGUACCACCUUGAACCACCACAUGUAAGAAGGCCAUUGCCAACUGUGGGCCCCUCAGCCUGAAACCUUUGAAACUGUGAGAUGAAAUAAAAACCCUUUCUUCAUUAGCCAGUCUGUGUAAUGGUGGUGUUAUCAGCAGGAAAGGAAAAAGACAGGUUCAUUGUUUAAAAUUAAUCCUUUCAGGAUGGCACCAGCAGAAAAUUGAACCAAGCAUGGUACCAAGUAAGC
rnacentral:lncRNA from 1 species